rnacentral:rRNA from 1 species
UACGAAGGGGGCUAGCGUUGUUCGGAAUUACUGGGCGUAAAGCGCGUGUAGGCGGCUCGGCAAGUCGGGUGUGAAAGCCCUGGGCUCAACCCAGGAAGUGCAUUCGAAACUGCCGAGCUGGAGUCCCGGAGAGGAAGGCGGAAUUCUCGGUGUAGAGGUGAAAUUCGUAGAUAUCGAGAGGAACACCGGUGGCGAAGGCGGCCUUCUGGACGGCGACUGACGCUGAGACGCGAAAGCGUGGGGAGCAAACAGG